GAGUUUGAUCAUGGCUCAGAUUGAACGCUGGCGGCAGGCCUUACACAUGCAAGUCGAGCGCGAAAGGCCUUCGGGUUGAGUAGAGCGGCGGACGGGUGAGUAACGCGUAGGAAUCUACCUGGUAGUGGGGGACAACAGUCGGAAACGGCUGCUAAUACCGCAUACGCCCUAAGGGGGAAAGCGGGGGAUCUUCGGACCUCGCGCUAUCAGAUGAGCCUGCGUCGGAUUAGCUAGUUGGUGGGGUAAAGGCCCACCAAGGCGACGAUCCGUAGCUGGUCUGAGAGGACGAUCAGCCACACUGGGACUGAGACACGGCCCAGACUCCUACGGGAGGCAGCAGUGGGGAAUAUUGCGCAAUGGGCGAAAGCCUGACACAGCCAUGCCGCGUGUGUGAAGAAGGCUCUAGGGUUGUAAAGCACUUUCAGUGGUGAGAAAAAGCGGUUGGUUAAUAGCCAAUCGUGUUGAUCAAACUC
rnacentral:rRNA from 1 species